rnacentral:lncRNA from 1 species
CUUGAAUCUUCUUGUCUUUGAAAGCAAGUACCACAAGUGUAGUACCUCUAAUGGCUCACAAACACCAAGAGCAAAUGGAGAGGCAAGAGAGAGAGAGAGAGAGAGAGAGAGAGAAGAGGUAUGAAAUUCGUCCCUAGGAACCCUAGACAAGGCAUGGACGAAUUCUUAUGGCCUUAGGGGUAUUUACAUAGGUGUAGAGAUUAGGGUUUCAUUCCUUAUCCUUAUCUAGUUGCUUGCCCACCAAGUAACCAUAAGAUAAGCCUUGAAAACCAUUAUCCUUAUCCUUUGGACGAUUUCAAGGAUAUCUUAUCCCUUGAAUUCAUCCACCCUAUAUCUAGGAUAACCAUUACCCUAUUUUGUAACUAUCACAUAAUUACAAUUCAGCCCCUCUAGUUUAAUUAAUUACACUUGAUCAUUAAAUUAAUUCUUAAUUAAUUAUUGACCAAUAUUAAUAAAACAAAUAUGAUUUAUCCUUUAAUAUAUUAUUGUUAUAACAUAUUAAUAAAUCAUAAUAACCUCUUUCUCUAUUAUUUCUCCAGUCAAGUUGCUUUGGUGAAGGCAACCCAAAAGGACCAUGCACAAUCAGGUCAAGUACUUGACAAAUAUGAUUACGAGCUUAGACACUAAUCCAACAGUCUCCCACUUGGAUAAGUCUAGUAAAUAUAAUAGUAAGUACUACCCGAUUAGCAAUCGUAGCUCGCAAAGACACUGUCGAACUCUGAUCUUAUCAGUAACCUGUCCUUUAGAUAAGGGAUCAUAUAUAUCUCCAUUCUAGAUAUCGUAUAGACAUGAGACAUGGAUUGAAAUCAUUCUCUCAGUCUAUGUGUUGUUUCCCGAUUUCCGAUUUACGACGACUAACUAAUUAAACAAAUCAAAUUAGCCCUAGCCCAACCGAGCAUUUACGUUUUGUCAUCAUUAAAUCAUCGAGGGGCCCACAAAUAUCGCUUUUAUCCCACUUUGGGUAAAAGGAACGGAUAAACUUCGACUCAAUGUUUGCUUGCACUCACUUACCAAAUCACACACAACAAUAAGUUUUAUAACACCAAGUUACUGGUGCGUUUACAUAUUAUCAAUGUGUAACCGAUUCGCAAAAUACAACUCAUACAUCUCGGUUUCAAGAAUACAAGAUAUUAUCGUCUCACCAAUCGCUCGUGAUAAAAUCUAUGAUAAUACUUAAUCUUAUAUGACCCCAAACUUGUGAACAUUGCAACAUGAACAUUGCAACAAACCUUUGCUAUAUCCAAUACACUUUAUACAAUCUACAAACUAAAUCAUGACAGUCUUCAUUCAUACCUACUUCCAACAUAUGAACGACUGCGGACCGUUUGAAAAAUUCGAUUAUUCUUAAUAAACUCAAUUAUUCUGGAAGUCAAAACAUGCAAAGAGAAACACAAUGAUAAUACUUAAUCUUAUAUGACCCCAAACUUGUGAGUAUAAAUAAAACACCUUUAUUUAAUCACCAUAUUGAUUACUCAUUAUCCAUUGUUUAAUGUUUCAGAUAAUCAACUUUAUAACUCGAAUCAUAACCACAAUUGUCCCAUGCUCCAAGCAUGCACACUUUGGUUUCCUAUGGUCCAUACUUUGUGAAAUAGAUCAAUUGAAACUUUUCAAAUGCAACUCAUUUCACAAUCCCCAAUCCUUAUAAUUAGUGUAAGAAUACCAAAUUCUUGCCACCUUUUAGAAUAUGUCAAAUUCUAAUAUUUUAUGCAAUGAUCCUCUUGUGAAGUCACGGCACAAAAAUCACAAAGACUCGGCCAACGAAAUCACAAGGUACUCUAUCAAAAAUUGUUACAGAACAAUUCUAUAGAUGUGAUGUCUCUCACUCAAAGUACAUUCCUUUGAACAUCCUUUUGCAUAAAAUUUUCUAAUCUAGACAUAAAUUCUUAAUUUCCAACUCCCAAUUAUGGAAACAAUUCCAUAUUUACCAUAUGACAACUCAUUCUUAAUAGAAUCUUAUCUAUUCAUAAUAAUGUCGAUAUGGUCCAUUCAAUACCAUACUUCCAACUACUCACAAGCGACCAAUCCUCAGCGAACUUUGGAUCGUCCUUUGAUAGUUGUUUAAUUAUCUUAGUCAAAACCGAUUCUUGUCCUUUUUCCCUCUUAAUGCGCUAGACAUUUGGAAAAAUUUUAGAAUGGUCAAAUAUUAUAGCACUUGCAAUCGAUCCUUUACCCGAAGCGUAUGGGACACGAUGCAUAAUGUCUUACAUAAAGAUACGAUACUCUAUCAAUCUUCUGCCAUAAUAUUUUAUGUGUCACGUUCUUACAAUUCGAACUAUGAAGAGGGAUACCGUAAUCAUAAUCGAAAUUUAAGAACACACUAUGUAUCCUUUGACUAAAUUUAUUAAAAUUUCUCAAUCUAAGCUUUAGAUUUUGAACGAAGUACAAUAUUCUCUCCCUUAAUUAUAGAAAAACAACUUUUCAACUCUUACAACUUUGCAAAGUAUAACUCUUGUUUUCUAUAAUUAAUAUUGCUAACUUGCAAUACUUACCAUAAUAAUCAUGCUCCCACUUAAAUGAUGAUUAUUUCUUUACCAACAUAACACUUAUGCUCCCACUAGCUUCGACAUGUAUUCAGAAAUCAGCUGAACUUCUAGAAAACAAUUUCUCAAGUUCAUAUUUCUAAUACUAGAUGCUUCGAUAAGACUUUAUCUAAGCUUCUUAACCUCAUACACUUUUCCUUGGACAGCUCAUAUGUAUAUGUCUAAACGAUUCUAGGACUCAUAUCAAUAAGUCUAAAAUGUUCAGACCCAUUUGCCAUUUCCCACAAUUCGAACUAUGAAGAGGUAUGCCAUAAUCAUAGUUGAAUUUGAGAAACCCAAAUCACAUAAUGCUAUCUUCCAAAUCUCUCUUAGUGAAAGCGUUUCCUCACAAUCAUUUUCAUGAAUGGGAGAAACCUUAUGACACUUAGAUUUUGUGGUGUAUACAUUCCCAUCCAUGUGAAUUUGUCGUAACCAUAAUCACAAGAUAAUGUUAGUGACAAAUCCAAACUCUUAUGGAUAGAACUUGUUCCUCUUAAUUUUUUGCCAUCAAGGGUCCCACCAUUACUUCCAAGUUAUUGAGCAACCCACCCCUUCAUUUCAAUGUACUUUCCAUUGAACAAGGUGUCUUGCCCCUAUACAAUCCAUUGAGAACUCGUAGAACUCACAUAUACAGAAAACUCAAUUGGAAUGCCACAGAAAACAAAAUAGUGUCAACACGAUAGGUUGUAAACCUCAAGUCGUGUGCUAGUGACGAUUGAUAAGGUUUAAUCUUGAUUUGUUCUCGAAACCUUUCAAGACCAUUAAGACUCCCACUAACUCCUUGACAUAUAAGGUUCUCUUGUCAAGAACCAUUUCUUGACAAAGAAAUAUUCAUGAGUUAGUGUAGCUUUCAUCAAGACAAAACACUUCAUAUGAUUGGUCCUAGUUGGUCUUUGUCAUAUCCAAGACAUCACAACUUACCAAUUUCAAAUGUGCAAGAAUAAGAAAACCCCUUUUCCAAAUUCCACAUUUGAUGAAUGUUAUAGACCUUCUUAAGACUUGUCACUCAAUUCACAAUCUUGGAGUCUAACUCUAAGACUUGAUAUUGGAACGAAGUAUGAUUGACUUCUUGAUUUAACCAUUUCCACAAUUCCCGAUUCCUCUUCUUAGACAUACAAAUUGUACUAAGAAUCACUUAGAGGAUCAAUUGAGAUAUGGUUGUUAAUCAUUAAGACCUAUCAUAAAACAUAAUAAAAUGUACUCUCCCUUCUUCUUAGAAUAGAGAAACUUUUAUCUUUCUGCCUACUUGAUUCUUCUUAUUCGUUUUACUAUUGAUUGAAACUCUUUCAAUCAACUUAGAAUUAUACUCAAUCUUAUAGGUAUAACCAUAUUCACUAAAAUUUAGUAAAUCAUGACGAAUAUCUUUGUCAUUCUUGUGGUAGACUUGAUCAACGUACGACCUAGUGUACUCGAUCUCUUAGUCCUUAAUUUUACACUUUGUCAAAAAAUUAGCCUAAAUUUCCCAAAUGCGAGAGUUCUCAUUCUUCAUACAAUACUUGUUGCACGAUUCCAAGUUCCUAUCCACUUGAAACUUGGGCGAUGAGAAACUCUCCCUAUUUGGUAAACUCUUGACACUUCCACAAAUAACCUAACUAAGAAUCAAAUCCAUUUUGUUGAUAAAAGAAGUACACAAACAUCAAUUUUUCAUAUAUGCCAUUGUAAGGAUAAACAAAUAAGAUAAAACCAAAAUUUAUUUUAUUCAUAAAAGCAGCGGAAAACAUGUCCUUACAAUGAAAAUUUCAACUGAAAAACUAUGUAAUCAAAUACUCCUAACAAUUCUAUCAUAACUUCCUAAGCUUAAAAUCUGACCUUCGAAUCCAUGUGAUCGUAAUCCAUUUCUUCGUGAUGAGACUCAUCUUGCUCUUCCAUCAAACUUCCUCUUUUUUCUCUAAUUCUGCAAAACAUGCAAAUGUAAUCUUAUCACAUUAUGUAUAAAGAAUAGGAAUUUAAUGGAGUUAGAUAGUGGAUUUUAUACCUGAAGUAGAGCCAUACUUCUUGACUCUCCCAUCUCUUAGACUCUUCAGGUCCUUUGGGCAACUUCGUAUCCAUUUCCCCUUCUCUUGGCAGCAGAAACAGGUGGGUUCUUCUAGAGUGUCCACGGAAGCAUGGUUGAUUGAAUUAUUAGACAAAUAUGCUCCAUUGCUUUGCCAAAUCAUUUCUGAUUCAGCAGCAAUAAGCAUGUAAGUUUAGCCAAUGAGGGUCGCGUCAAGAUCCAUCAUAUAAUACUCUCUUAUGAACUUAUAAUAUGAUUUAGGGAGUGACUGAAGAACCCAGUCCACAUCCAACCUAUUGGGAAAAGACGCACCCAACAUAAUCAACCUAUCAAUGUGUGAUUUCAUCCCUAGGACGUGAGCACACACGGGUUUACCAUCUUCAUGUUCCAUUGCCAAUAGGGAUUCAGUGAUCUUGAACCUUUCAAAUCUUUGAUCUUGUGGGUCAGGGAGAACAACGGCAGGAGGAGGAGGGAGUGAAAUCAAGCUAGUCCACAUUGAUCUUUCACUUUGGAACAAGCUUUCACUUUCAACAAGAAUACCUUUUCCUUGGGAUUCGGGAAGACCACGGUUAGAAUCAGACAUCUACAAAACGGGAGAAAUUUCAAGUUAUUUGAUUGAAUCCUUAAUGAAACACCCAAAUGAGACAUUAAGGCUAGGAUCCAACAACAUUAUUUACACAUUAGAAGAGGGAUGCCGUAAUCCAACAUGCAAAUAAUUCGGAGGUAAGUGAAUGACGAUUCACUAAUUCUUCACCAUGAAAAACAUAAAGGCUUAAGUUUUAAAUGUAUUAAGAAUUCCUANCGAUGAGAUUCAUUGAAGUUUUCAAUGGCAUGUUUAAAUCUCGAUAUGCCCCUCUCGUUUGUGACUGAGAUGCCGAGGAUCACAAAGUGGGUGUGAAUAACCAUGCAAAUAUACAUGGUGCCCUCAUUGUUACAGUCACCUAUUCGAUGUGCCGGUAAACCACACACGUUGUAUCGAACUAUGACAAACAUUGAGUCACCCUUUGCUACCUUUGCUUNNNNNNNNNNNNNNNNNNNNNNNNNNNNNNNNNNNNNNNNNNNNNNNNNNNNNNNNNNNNNNNNNNNNNNNNNNNNNNNNNNNNNNNNNNNNNNNNNNNNAUGCGCACAUAGGAAAGUUCUUAUGGCUAAAACCCAUCAGUUUGAACUUUUUCAAAUUUAGAGUUUUAGAAUUUAACAUUUUUCAAAAUUAAACUUUCAAUCAACCAAUUUAAAUUCCAAAACUUGAGGGCAAGUUUUGAAACUUUUCAAAACAAUUAGGUUUUAAUCUCACUUUAAAAUUUUCGAAAUUUAAUACUAUUUAAAUUAAAAUUUUAAAUAUUAAAACUCUUGAUUUAAUAAUUAUCUUGAAUUAAACUAUUAAUUUACAUUAUUAAAUCAAAAGGGAUUAUCUAAAUCAUAAAGGAUAAUUACCAAUUAAAUAAUUAAUUUAUCAUAAUCCUUUUAAUCCCUCUAUAUUUCGAAAAUCAUGGGAUAGGAUAAUUCAAAAUCUUUAAUUACCAUAUAUUACCAUUAAAGGAUAAUUACAAGAUAUAGGAUAAUCCAAAUCCCUAAAAUUUAGGAUCUUAUCUUGGGGAGGAGGCUAAUUUCGAAAAUCAUGGGGUUUUUCAAACCCUAGAUUUCGAAAUCUUGAGGCUUAAGGAAAGGAUUUGAAAACCCUUUCAAAUUUUCGCAAAUUAGGGUAUAGAAACCCUAAUCUCGAAAUUUCUAGCCUCCUAGGGUUUAUUGGCUAUAAACCCUAGUAUGUCAAGUUCAUACAAUUGUAUAAUACUAAUUGAAAACAAGUUAACCAAAGGCUCUGAUACCACUGAUGGGUUUUAUACAAACAAUCCUAUGUGUGCAUGCAACCCUAGAGUUGGAUCUAUGUUAUCACUAUUAGUUAUACAACAUUAUGAACACUUGAAGAACCCUAAAAGGCUUCUAGGAAUUUCGAAAUCCACAAGGAAAGAUGAAAUAAAUACCUCUUGUUGUUAUAUUGUAAUAACAACUUAAAUCUUGAAUCUUCUUGUCUUUGAAAGCAAGUACCACAAGUGUAGUACCUCUAAUGGCUCACAAACACCAAGAGCAAAUGGAGAGGCAAGAGAGAGAGAGAGAGAGAGAGAGAGAGAAGAGGUAUGAAAUUCGUUCCUAGGAACCCUAGACAAGGCAUGGACGAAUUCUUAUGGCCUUAGGGGUAUUUACAUAGGUGUAGAGAUUAGGGUUUCAUUCCUUAUCCUUAUCUAGUUGCUUGCCCACCAAGUAACCAUAAGAUAAGCCUUGAAAACCAUUAUCCUUAUCCUUUGGACGAUUUCAAGGAUAUCUUAUCCCUUGAAUUCGUCCACCCUAUAUCUAGGAUAACCAUUACCCUAUUUUGUAACUAUCACAUAAUUACAAUUCAGCCCCUCUACUUUAAUUAAUUACACUUGAUCAUUAAAUUAAUUCUUAAUUAAUUAUUGACCAAUAUUAAUUAAACAAAUAUGAUUUCUCCUUUAAUAUAUUAUUGUUAUAACAUAUUAAUAAAUCAUAAUAACCUCUUUCUCUAUUAUUUCUCCAGUCAAGUUGCUUUGGUGAAGGCAACGCAAAAGGACCAUGCACAAUCGGGUCAAGUACUUGACAAAUAUGGUUACGGGAUUAGACACUAAUCCAACGAAUAUGAGCUGGGGAUACAGCGGUCUGGGGGCAAUGCCCCUGGGUACAGGGUUCCAAGGGGCAGUUCCCUAGGCGGGGUCUAGGGACAAUGCUCCUAGCGGGGUCUAAGGGGUAGAGCCUCUGGCGGUGAUUAGUGGUCAGCGGAUGGGAUCAACGGG